rnacentral:lncRNA from 12 species
CUCCCAGCCGGACCCCCCUCCCCAGCCCGCCCGGCACUUUGGGCCUCUAUCCCCCACCCCCUGCCCCCGCUACAAAGACGAUUGGCAUCUGAGCAUGAACAGGGAGAGCGGAUGCAGGGGCCAGCCUUUGAGAUUCAGGACCCAACCCCCUGCCCACAUGGAAAGGCCGGGGUGGUCGGGUGGCCCACCUGCUGGCCCCUCGUGCGGCAGCCGGGCCCUGGUGGCUGAGUGGGGGCUGCUGUUUGGGGGAGGAAGGAGCUGGUGAGGGCCCAUCACGGCCCCAGGGCUUACUCUCACCACACAGGCCGGGCACAUGUGUGUGCGCGCAUGUGCAUGCUCACGUGUGUGUGCGCGUGUGUCUGAUGGGCAGGGGGCCUAGAAGGAGCAGCCUGGGGACAGAGGGGACCUGUAACCCUCCCUGCCAGCUCCCCCAUCCCUACCCACCAGCCUCUCUCCUUUCUGGACCCCAGCCCCCUCCACGGGCCACACUAGACAAUGCCCCAGAUGUGCGGAGGAGACCCCACCCUCCGCCGCCUCGUAGGUGUGAGGGGUGUGGGGGCUGCUUCGGCAUCAGGGAGCGAGACGGGAGGCCCACACUGCUCCCCUGGGAGCUGCAGGCCGGCUGGGGCAGGGGUGCUGGGGCCCGGCCUGGGCACAGGAUAGCGCAUCACCCCCUUCCUCAUUCAACAGCUGUGCCUCUGGCCUCCCCGGGUUCUGGGGGUGCGGUUGAUGAGAUGGCAGGCACACACGGGGCUCAUGGCCAGGGGUCAGAUCGCGAUGCUGUGUCCUUCCCCCACCAGGUCUGGGGCUGGGCGGCUCCCCUGGAGCAGGACCCCUCAGCCGUGUGACCGGCGUAGACCUGGCUGGGCCCCAGACGCAGGGGUGCCUGGGCCAGGGUUCUUGGGCCGCCGCCCGCCCGCCCUGCCCGCCCCGGCCCCCAGUGACCUCUAGGAUGCCCGCCGCCACAGCCCGCCUCCCUUCCUGUCCCUCCGGCAGCCCCGGCCCACGAGGGGGCACACCCGUUCCUGCCUGACUCUCAGAGGCCACGCGCCAGGGCCCGUGGCGGCCUCUCCGGCCUGCGCCGCCGGAGGCCACGUGGGGAGGCUGCAGGGACGCCGCCCUGGCCAGCGGCUGCGGGGCGGGCUCUGGGCACGGGUGACCACCGCUGCCCUGCUGGGACGCCGGGGACGGGGAGCAUCUGACUCAGCCCAGCUGAGACUCACACCCACCCACCCACCUGUGCGCAGAUCUACGCACCCACCGCUCACCCCACCCCCAGCCAUCCACAGACACACACCCCUGGACACACUCACCCACAGCUAUCUGCCCGCACACCCACACGCUCAGCACUUCUCCUGGGUGCCAGCGGCUCUGCUGACCCUGGGCGAUGCGGAGUCACAGGCCCUAUCACAGCGCGUCCUGUGCUAG